rnacentral:lncRNA from 1 species
GACAAGGUCAUACCUACAGAAGCCAUUGAGGAACCCGAUUGUAUUUCAGAUGAACACUCGUGGGCAUUCACCAUAAGUUGCAAGUAAGCGGAAGGAUCAGUUUUCUUCAAGGCAUGUAGGUCUUCGACCGAAAGGGUGCGGAGUUCUUGGGUGUUAGGAGCAGGAUUAGUUUUCUCGACAGGAGAAGCCCUUAGGCUAGGUGGUUGAUUAUCAGUUUGAGGGUCAUCUUAGAUAGCGUCUUCGUC